rnacentral:rRNA from 1 species
GGCUUAGAGUUUGAUCAUGGCUCAGGAUGAACGCUGGCGGCGUGCCUAACACAUGCAAGUCGAGCGAAGCGCUUAAAUUGGAUUUCUUCGGAAUGACGAUUUUUGUGACUGAGCGGCGGACGGGUGAGUAACGCGUGGGUAACCUGCCUCAUACAGGGGGAUAACAGUUAGAAAUGACUGCUAAUACCGCAUAAGACCCCAGCUUCGCAUGAAGCGGUGGUAAAAACUCCGGUGGUAUGAGAUGGACCCGCGUCUGAUUAGCUAGUUGGUAAGGUAACGGCUUACCAAGGCGACGAUCAGUAGCCGACCUGAGAGGGUGACCGGCCACAUUGGGACUGAGACACGGCCCAGACUCCUACGGGAGGCAGCAGUGGGGAAUAUUGCACAAUGGGGGAAACCCUGAUGCAGCGACGCCGCGUGAAGGAUGAAGUAUUUCGGUAUGUAAACUUCUAUCAGCAGGGAAGAAAGUGACGGUACCUGACUAAGAAGCCCCGGCUAACUACGUGCCAGCAGCCGCGGUAAUACGUAGGGGGCAAGCGUUAUCCGGAUUUACUGGGUGUAAAGGGAGCGUAGACGGGAUAGCAAGUCUGAAGUGAAAGCCCGGGGCUCAACCCCGGGACUGCUUUGGAAACUGUUGACCUGGAGUGCUGGAGAGGCAAGUGGAAUUCCUAGUGUAGCGGUGAAAUGCGUAGAUAUUAGGAGGAACACCAGUGGCGAAGGCGGCUUGCUGGACAGUGACUGACGUUGAGGCUCGAAAGCGUNGGGGAGCAACAGGAUUAGAUACCCUGGUAGUCCACGCCGUAAACGAUGACUACUAGGUGUCGGUGAGCAAAGCUCAUCGGUGCCCGCAGCAACGNNCAUAGUAGUCCACCUGGGGA